rnacentral:rRNA from 1 species
UACAUAGGCGGAAAAUUAAGUCAGUAGUGAAAUCCUGCAGCUUAACUGUAGAACUGUUAUUGAUACUGGUUUUCUUGAAUAUAGUUGAGGUAGGCGGAAUGUGUAAUGUAGCGGUGAAAUGCUUAGAUAUUACACAGAACACCGAUUGCGAAGGCAGCUUACUAAGCUAUGAUUGACGCUGAGGUACGAAAGCGUGGGGAGCGAACAGGAUUAGAUACCCUGGUAGUCC